CUCAGGACGAACGCUGGCGGCGUGCCUAAUACAUGCAAGUCGAGCGAACUGAUGAAGAGCUUGCUUUUGAUCAGUUAGCGGCGGACGGGUGAGUAACACGUGGGUAACCUGCCUGUAAGACUAGGAUAACUCCGGGAAACCGGGGCUAAUACUGGAUAACUUUUCUCUCCGCAUGGAGAGAGAUUGAAAGAUGGCUUCGGCUAUCACUUACAGAUGGACCCGCGGCGCAUUAGCUAGUUGGUGAGGUAACGGCUCACCAAGGCAACGAUGCGUAGCCGACCUGAGAGGGUGAUCGGCCACAUUGGGACUGAGACACGGCCCAAACUCCUACGGGAGGCAGCAGUAGGGAAUCUUCCGCAAUGGACGAAAGUCUGACGGAGCAACGCCGCGUGAGUGAAGAAGGUCUUCGGAUCGUAAAACUCUGUUGUUAGGGAAGAACAAGUAUCGUUCGAAUAGGGCGGUACCUUGACGGUACCUAACCAGAAAGCCACGGCUAACUACGUGCCAGCAGCCGCGGUAAUACGUAGGUGGCAAGCGUUGUCCGGAAUUAUUGGGCGUAAAGCGCGCGCAGGCGGUCUUUUAAGUCUGAUGUGAAAGCCCACGGCUCAACCGUGGAGGGUCAUUGGAAACUGGAAGACUUGAGUGCAGAAGAGGAGAGUGGAAUUCCACGUGUAGCGGUGAAAUGCGUAGAGAUGUGGAGGAACACCAGUGGCGAAGGCGACUCUCUGGUCUGUAACUACG
rnacentral:rRNA from 1 species